UACGUAGGGGGCAAGCGUUGUCCGGAUUUAUUGGGCGUAAAGCGCUCGCAGGUGGUUCGUCGCGUCGUGCGUGAAAGACCCCGGCUCAACUGGGGAGGGUCGUGCGAUACGGGCGGACUGGAGGCCAGUAGGGGGAUGCGGAAUUCCUGGUGUAGCGGUGAAAUGCGCAGAUAUCAGGAAGAACACCCGUGGCGAAGGCGGCUCUCUGGAACGCAACUGACGCUGAGACGCGAAAGCGUGGGGAGCAAACAGG
rnacentral:rRNA from 1 species